AAGUCGAGCGAUGAACCUCCUUCGGGAGUGGAUUANCGGCGGACGGGUGAGUAACACGUGGGUAACCCUGCCUCGUAGAGGGGAAUAGCCUUCCGAAAGGAAGAUUAAUACCGCAUAAGAUUGUAGUUUCGCAUGAAACAGCAAUUAAAGGAGUAAUCCGUCUAUGAGAUGGACCCGCGUCGCAUUAGCUAGUUGGUGAGGUAACGGCUCACCAAGGCGNCGAUGCGUAUCCGACCUGAGAGGGUGAUCGGCCACAUUGGGACUGAGACACGGCCCAGACUCCUACGGGAGGCAGCAGUGGGGAAUAUUGCACAAUGGGGGAAACCCUGAUGUCANCAACGCCGCGUGAGUGAUGACGGUCUUCGGAUUGUAAAACUCUGUCUUCAGGGACGAUAUUGAC
rnacentral:rRNA from 1 species